UUUUUUUUUUUUGUGGAUGCUAAUCCUCAAUUUUCUUUUCCUUAAUCAUGUAAAAAAUUGGAAUUUGUUAUCCCAUUUACUUUAUUUUUUGUGUUCAGACUUCAGAGUUCAGCUAUCCUUCUCAUCUUCCAUUUUUUUUUCUACUUUUCUUCACAGACCAAACUUCAGAGAUCGUAUAUCCUUCUUCUGUUACAUUUUUUCCUGGUUUUCUUCACUCCUUACUCAAAUAUCUUCUCCUAUUCUCUGUUUUGCAUAUUUUUCUCUUAUGAUUUUUUCUUAAAUAUCUAAGUAAUUAAGAAACUUGGGGUUUUCAUUGUUGUUCUUCUUUACAGUAUUGAAGAAGCAGUCUGUGCAUCUAUGGCUCUGUUAGAUUGAGAUCUGAUCUCAUAUAUUUCCAAUUUCAUUGUAGAUUAGGAUUUUCCCUAAUUAUAUGAUUUUGAUUAUGUGUUCUUCAAUUUUUCUAGUAACAGAUUCAGGUAGUUAUUCUUUCAUUAUUUUGUUUUAUGCUUCUAUAUUUCUUUUGCUAUUUAUUUCCAAUCUAUUUAGGUUUAAUUUUUUCCCCAUUAUUUACUUUGCCAAAUUUGUUUCUUAGGAGCUUUGAGCGACUUCUGUUUGUUAUGGGAUGAAUUUGUAUCUGCUAUUGCUACUAGGUAUAAUCCUUUUUUUCCUUGCUCAUAUUGAUUAAUUUUCAGUUUUGGUUUUCAAGUUUUUAUUUAUUAAAUUUUUUCUCCUCCAAUAAACUGCAGUUUCUUUCGUCUCGUGCCAUCAACAUAAUCAAAAACUUGAGGUAUUGGGUUUUGUGCUAUAUUUAGUUGCUUAAAUUUUACUUUUUUGCUGUUACAAAUUUAGUUGUUUUUUUUUUUUUGCUUUUUGUUGAGCUUACUUUCAUGUAAUAUUGUCAAUUUUAAGUUGUUUCUUUUCUUGCACACACGUUAGAUCUACAUGUGUAAAUCAUUUUGCAUUGCAUAGUUUUUGUUCUACUUAAUGUGUCUAAGAAUAUUUUGGGGUAUUUUCUGCACGUGGAUAUAAAUAUUUCCUUUGGUCAAAAUCAUCCUAAGAUUUACCAAAUCUGUUCACCUCCUUAACAAGCCUACUUGGUUUUGGGUACAAGUCCUGCUCUCAAUUAGUUUAGCCUUGCUUGGUUGAAGUUCAAUGUCAUUGCAGUUUCAUUUUAUGGCACAGUGCUUCCAUGUUUUUGGUGUCCCAGAGUCACUUUUUACUUUGUGUGCUGAGGGUAUUUCUUUUUCUCCAAUUUAUAAGUGUUUGAUUGAAUUCAAUGUGGUGGAAAACUACUAGAUGCCUGAUGAGAAAAUGAAAGAUAGGUAUGUCAUGUUAAUUUGCUGGAAACAUAUUGCUCUGUAAUUUCAUGGAAUUGUCAUUUUGAGGAUAUAUGUGUGUGGCUUAAAGAUAGGGAAUAUCUAAAAGGUACAUGACAACUUAAAUGACCAUAUCCUGGAUCAAAUUUUGGCUCCAAAAACAAUAAUUUUAUGUCUUUCCAGUACUUAUGAAGUUUAUAAUAUAUAAUGAGAAUAAACUAUAAAAGGAAUGAGCUUUAGUUGAUGAAAACUCAAACAAGGAGUGGUAUGAGUGCUUUCGCGUUUACUUGACCUGAUAGUUUUGUAUAUAUAGGUUAGGCACACACAUUUUAAAUCCCCCCUCUUUCUGCUUCCUCUCCUGCUUGAAAACAAAAUUAAAAAUGGAGGUUUUAUAACUAGAUGAGAAAUUGUCUUGAGCAUGCAUUCAAAAAGACAAUUGCCUUUGAGGAAUUGGAAAAAUUUUUCAACUUUCCAACAAUGAAGUUCCCUCCUUUUUUUCCACACAUUUGGCAUUAUGAUGUUAUCCUUACAUUUUGAUUUUUGACUUAACAACCUUGCAAAUGCUUUCUAGAGCAUUUCAUGCC
rnacentral:lncRNA from 1 species